AAGCUAAGAGGACUGAAGGGAAUUGAUUUGGUUUUGCCAUUGAGGUAUAGAUAUUGGGGAAAACAGCAUGUCCUGAAUAACAGUAACCAUAGAGCCCAACAGCAACAGGAAGACUAGCCAGGUUCAAUGUAGUUCCUUUGUUAUGAAAGCCAACUUGAUCUACCAAGCCAACACAAAACAAGCAGGGUACUACCAAGAUUGAUGCAACGACUCCACCAGCUGGAAACAGAGAAAGAACACACUAAGACCAACAUCAAACUAUGUGACAUAGUAUAGAGAGAGAUAGCCUUGGGGCUGAAGAGAGUGCAACUAAAAUCAACUGUACUGUGGAUUUUCAGUUAGGAUACAUUACAGAUCAAUAUGUUUCUUACCAGAGAUAUAACUCAGAACGCUGAGGUCUCAGCGCCAAACAGUGGGAAGAACAGCAAGGGUUGUCAUCAAUGCAAACAGACGUUGGGAAUUCAACUCAAAUCCACCCAAACUGAUAUGUGCAUUUGGGAACAAGGACGACAAGUUAUCACCCCCUAAAAUUACAUAUUCAACGCAACAAGCCUGUGUUGAAGAUUGUAAGAGUAACCUCACUGGUAAAAAAUAGAACAUGUUCCAAAAUAUCUAUGGGAAUCACUACAUUCUCCAUGAUGUUAUGUAAUCCAGUAAACAAGCUAAAUAUCAUCAGAAUUAGAUAAUAAAGGCAUGUGAUUCCAAGAUGAAACCUCAUGUAAGAGUAAAAACAUAAGUUCAUUAGGUUAUGUAGAACUAUUUUUGUUCAAAGUAUUUAUCCCGCCAGGUUUUCAUUUAAGUAUGUAAAAGUCUUAUUUAUAAGAAAAAAUAAAUAACAAUAAUAAAAAAGGAGAUGCAAACUAAAACUGGUAUUCAAUGAGGAGAUAUUUCUGAAUACUGAUUCAAUGCCCAAGAAUUCACUCUAGUUGAGGUUCUCUACAGGAAGUCAAAACCCAGAAAAAUAGCUAUAUGCCUCAAGGAAUGGUACUUGCAAUUGAACCCAGAAGCUCUUGCCAUUGGCUGAGCAAUUUUGAUCAUAUUAUUCUGAAAUUAUUCCUGUCAGCAGCUUCUAAAUUUGCAUGGUAAAAAAGAUUUGGAUGUCUUAGCUGAUAUAUGAAAAUGGAUGCCCUAAAGCAUAUCUUAAAAUUGUUGUAGCCACUAGAUUUCCUUCAUUGAUGAACAAGGUAGAGACAUAAGUUAAAACAGAAUGGAAGACAGAACCAAAAAUGCAGGACCCAGGAAUUUGCAAGAGGACCCCUGAUGGAAUCUUAGCUUACACAUUCUCAAGCAUAGCUAGACAACUAUUGGAUUUAUCAUACAAUACUAAGAAAAGCCAAUUGUACUUACAUAUAACUCAACGUAUAAUAUUAGCUGCAACCACAGGAAAAACAAGAGCUAAAACCAUGACAAUCAGUGAUCAUUCAGUCUUUGUAAACCAGUGCUUAUUUUAAUCUGUCAAUUUCCUAGUUUCUAUCUUGUAAAAUAAAAUAAAAAGAAAAAAGACCCAAAAUAUAUAAAAAUUUAUUGACAUAGAAAAUGACUGCUUGUAAGGAUUUUUGAGUAAAUUUGAUAUUGAAAAAAAACGAAAAUAAUUAAAGUUUGGUUUUUGUUGCCUUUGGUUCCAAAAACAAAAAUAUUAUAAGAAGACACAAUGAGAUACAAAAGAAAAUAAUACACAUAAUAGUUAAAAAUAUUUUUAAAAUUAUUUUAAAAAAUUAAACAGUAUAUGAGUUCAAUUAAGCGUACUAAAAGAAUAAAAAUAUAUUUGAAUCUUUAUGAAUAAUUUAGAAAUUUUUUAACAUAUUCUGUUUAAAUAAUAUUUAUAAAAUAUUAAAAAUUUCAAAUAUUUUUUUAAAACAAAAUGCAUGAGUUUACCUUUAUAUAAAACAAUUCUAUUAAGAUUUACAUUAAAUUUUAAUUAAUUAUGAUAUUACUUAUUUCUCUUUUGUGUUUUUAUUUUAUAACAAAUUUUCAAACAGUAAAAAUUAGAUAAUAAAAUACAAUUAAUAAAUUUAUUAACUACACAGAAACGUAGAAUUACCGAGAGGGCAAUUCUGCCGGCGGUGCCAAAUACGGCUUGACCAAUAUCUGCUAUACCAAAGAAUAGAGGCCCCUUUUUUAUCUAACAAAGGGCCAAAAGUAAAACAAAAUCUGAUUUUCUAUCUCAAGUUUUGAUUCAAAGGGUUCACUAACUAAAUUAGUUGAUACUUUCGGUCAUUACCAUUUCAGUUUAAAUAUGAGCUUGUUUGUUUGUCAAGCUGGUCAGACCAACAACUUCAAUAUUGCUCAAUUGCUAGCUUUAAUUUAAUCACUCUGACAAUAAGAAAGAAAAAAAAAAAAAACCAAAGAAUACAUCAGGAUGAAAUGAAUGAUAAUUCAUCAGAUUAUUCUUAAAAGCUUGAAGUAUGUCAAGUACCUUGGGAGACGAUUUAGUCAAAAGUUUACAAGAAAUUCACAAUUAAAACAGGAAAGGGAAAUGAAAUUUUAGGAAGUAAACUACUACAUGAAAGAAGGAGCAAGAAUCUUUAAGUUAAAAUCCACAUCCGACUUCAAUCACGCAAGCAGUUGGUUUUCAAUUCUGAUUAAACGAGUUUAUGUGUAGAGCACUCCUUAUGUGUGAAAACGCCUGCCUGGCAUGGAAUUGGAAUUGUGGUUGUUAUUGGCCUCUAAUGGUUCCAAAGAGACAGGAAUUGGUCUCCCCAUCAUACACCAAAAUCAAGUCUAUGAACAAUGUACUAUCAUCCUCUAUGUUGCUUUGACAAUCCCAAAUUUAAGUGAAGCAUGUGGAAAAUGCUGCAAAGACAUUCCACCUCUUCCUGAAGCCGGUAGUAGACCACUUGAAAUUUUCAUGGCGCAUAAUCUUGAAAAAAGCAAGCUUCAAUGUUAGCCCCAAAACAGAAUAAAUCUAGAUGCAGAAGGAACAUAACUAACUGGCAAUAAUAAACUCAAAUUUGCAACAAGUUCUUGUAACUAAAAGGAAGCAAGUGAUGAGGCAUACCUCAAAUACCAAAUGAGAGCCUCAAAUGCAAUGCACAACAAUUGAAGGUCACUAUUUGCAGGUCUGCAUACUUUCUAUCCCAGAAAGCAGAAGUCAACUCCGUAUUAUGGAAACAAACUUUCAGCACUAACCAGAGAAGCAUCAAUUGUGUCAGACAUCAGUGGAGCAAUCACAAAAUAUUUGUUCAAGUUACAAAAUUUGUUUGAAUUGCAACCGUGUGCUAAUGACUAAACCUAGUCUGUAUAGCAUGUUCAAUUUCAAAAUAGUAUGAAAUUUCUUGAAAAGGACCUUCAAAAGUUUGAUAAUAAUAAUUCGCUACUGGCACGAGUUACCUGCAUUUGAUUUGUUGCAGGUCCUUUAGUGGAAGAGCCAGAGAAGAAUAUACCGGAUAAGAUAUCUGUUAAGAUUGUGGUGAAAUACAUUUAAUUGGCUAUUAAGAAUUUAAAGAGAACCAAUAAAUAGCAAGUACUGAGACACGAAGAGUUGUGAGCCUUUAUGAUAUAGCAAAACACUAAACCCCCAUAAAGCAUAAAGUUAACCUGCCUUUGUGAAGUUUUGAGAGUUACUGAGAUCUUCAAAGUCCAAACUCUGAUAGUACAUCUCAAUAACUUUGAAAACUCUGAAAGGAUAAUAGAAACAAUAUUUAAAAGAACUAAGCAAUUUAGAGUCAUCAUUGAGAGGGAAAAUAAUGAAAAUAACAAAAUGAUAUAACCUCAAUAAAAACUUAUAAACAAAGGGAACAAUGACCUUUCUAUGACUAUUUCAUUUCAUCACAUGGCUGUCAAUUUUCCAACAGAACAUGUAAAAGUUAGGUGAAAUUCUGUCCACUCUUCCUCUAGAAUCCACAAGAAGAACAAUUCCUUAAGCUGCUGGCAGUGAAGCAAUUUCAACAUCCCUUUUACUGGUAUGAAAAGAUAACCAAAAUGCAACAACAUUAAGAGAAGUCAACAACUUAAAUCUUUCACUAAUCUUAGAGUUGAGAACACUUUAAAUUUUUGUUUUCCAGAAAAAAAAGAAGUGUCAUGGUACUGAACUGAUGAAACAGAAUAUACAUGCUGGCUGCUGGCAUCUUCUCCAUUUGGACAACAACUAAUGCCUGUUAUGCAAGUACUUGAUGCCAUCAUUGCCUUUCACAUUUCAGGGAAGGAUGCCGAUUGCAGCUUAAAUGUCCAAACAAACAUACUAUAAAAUCAAUGCAAGUAUACCAUGAGUUCAGAAGUAAAACUAACUAAAUGUCCAAAGUAGCGUGAAGCAGAGGACAUAAUCCACAUGUUAACACAGGGCUGUCUGCAAGUAAAGUUGCUGUGUUACUGACAUAUAAUAAUUGAUUAUUGACAGAUAAAUUUCUUGAUUCAUUAUGAAAGCUGGAAUUGCGAAGGGAGAAAAAAAAGCCUACCUAGUUUUCGUCAUAUCUGAAAAUACAGCUCUUCUUUCUUCAACUUUUUAGUUUAGAAGAAUACAAGAAAUGCAUUAAACAGAACAGGCUAGCUAGUCUGAAGAAAUUUGAGGUUGAUGCCAUGCUUGUUGAUCACAGUUGCUAACACAAGAUUGUUCCAAGAAAACCUCAAAUUUGUCAAGAACAUAGGGAUAAAAAACCUGGUAAAAAUUCAUUAGAUGAGUGUCAGCAAUGAUCAGUAUAUGCAGAAGUAAACCAAAUACACAUUAUGUGAAAGAAAGUUCUGGAAGGUGCAAAUAAACCAAAGGCACAUUAGGUUGGGAAAAAAUUUAAAAUGAUGUAGAAAUGAAACCAAAAAAGAUGAGGGCAUAGUUAAUACAAACAAUAAAGAGUGCAAAAGAAUACCAGAGUGAAUUAGGCACCUCUUCAUAGGAAUGACACUGUACUAGUUCCUUGAGCUGGGAGUAUAGCAAUUUAAUUUUCAAAUUGUGCAGACCACAAAGUAGUCCCUGAAAAGGCGAUGAAUCAAAUUCAACCAACAACAAUACAUGGAUUGCUGCAAUUUGAAGUUAACCCACACACAUUCUCAAGUUUCAUUCAAAGGGAAAAAUGUUGAUUUAGCUUAGGACAAUUAUAAGUAAAGUUCUUCAAGAUGAGCCCUGACAUUCUUCAUACCCAAUCCUGCCAUUUUAAGAUUUGUUAAAACCUUGAUGCUUCAUUUGGAAACAAGAAUUUGAGAGGGUGUAUUCGAAUUGAUUUGUUCUUCAUUUUUGUAACUAUUACUGUAGUCAUUACAUUUAAGAGAGUAAAAAAGGAUGUAUUUGGAAUUCACUUUUCUAUCUAGGUAUUUUAAAUUCACUACAAAAGAGAUAUUUUAUAAAUCCAUAUAUUUGACUGUAAUUAGAAAACUCAUAUAUUUAUAAGUAUUACCACAUAACUUUUACUACAUUUGAAAUCCAAAUCCAUUUUCUCAAAUAUAUAUAUUUCCAAAUGCAAUCUAAAAUUUCAUGGAACCUAGAUGGCUUUGUUGCUCAAGAUAUGUAACCAUGGAAGUUACAAUACUACUUUGAGAAGGAACGCAACCAUGGAACUAAAGAACAUGGUAGUCAUUGAUUUCAUACUGUACAAGAAAGGAAGGAGUCGAACCUGUGCACACCAUCAUUCCAGCUGUAGGAAGUCCAAAUUUGAAGUGAAGUAUGCAGAGCUUGAUGUGAAGAUGUUGACAAAAACUUUCAUGCAGAUAAUUCUCCUUAGAAAAAUGAGGCCCUGUAGCUCUAGGCUGAAGCAAAUCAUGCAAGAGGAACAUCAUUUGAAAGGGAAUCAUAGAUUAGAAUUUGCAACUAAGAGUCAAAAGAAGGGAGCUAGCAGGCUGUAAAACAAUUUGCAGCAAAUUAAGCAUGUGAUCCCAAGUGUUAUGAAAGAAAUAAAGAAUUUGGCAUUAGAAUGAAAGAAAAGAAAACCUUUUCUCUUUCUUUUUAGCUUUUCAUGAAGAACUUAAUCCAACAAUUGAUUAAAUUGUUACAAGAACAAAAGCAUAAUGCAUUGUCAACAAAAUGGUUGGAAAAAAAACACAUAAUUCAUUGAUAUUACUCUCACAAACAAUAAAUAAAUAAAUAAAUAAAAGGAAAAAAAUGAGAACGCAGUACACAAACCUCAAUCAAUUAAAAAAUUUUGAAAGAAAAAUCAAUAAAGAAAUAUGUAAAAUAAAUGGAGAAUGGACAAGGGUUAGUGAAAUUAAAUGAAAAUGAAUGGAGUACCUGAGUCAUAUUGCGUUCAUAAUGCCCACUGAUCCACGGGACUCCUUGAGACAUAUAGUCCUGCUAAAUAAUGAGUUGUCCGUCAUUCUCAAUGGCAGGGAUGUGGGAAAUCUUUGGUCAAUCUUUACCUUCCUUCUUUUCGCAAUUUCUUCCAGCAACGGACAGUUUAUAAGGCAUAAAGAAGAAAGGGAGAUAGGAAGCCUCUUUGCUGGCAUGGAUUGGAGCAUCGGACAGUCCAAGAUGACCAAUGUGCGAAGAGAAGUGAGGUGUUGAAAGCCCUUGUAGUCCAAAAACUUAAGAUUUGGAAGAUUCCAUAUCUCGAGACGAGUAAGAGUAGAGGGCAGCAGAUGUUCAUCUGGAAAAGACUCUAUCUCUUCCGCACCAUCGAUUAGGAAGGUUGUAAGUGAAGGGAGUGUUUCCAAACCCCAAUCCUUCCUGCCCGCAAUUAGCUUUUCACUUCUUCCCAUUGAAAUAUUUUUUAAUUUGGAGGGUAAACCCUCUUUUGGAAAUGACUCAAUUUCUGGACAAUUGAAUAUAAAGAAAACCUCAAGGGAUGGAAAGAGGGAUUGCAUUUGCUCAGGCAAUGACUUUAAAUUUUUGCAACCGUCAAGCCAAAGUGAUGUCAAAUUGGUGGCAGAAAAACCCUCUUCGGGAAAAGAUAUAAAAUUAGGGCAGGAAUAGAUUGAUAAAAGAUUGAGACAUGGGAGAUGCUGGUGAGGGCCCUCUGAUGCAAGAAAUGACUUCAAGUCUUCAUCUAAGAAAUCGGAGAUUUGAAGACUAUUUAGCUUAGGUAAUGAUCCUAUUGAGAAAGAUUCCAGUGGAUGAUCACUGAGGCUACGUAUGAGUAAGCGUUCAAGGGAUGUAUACAAGAGGAUUUUGUUUGAGAAGCUCUUAAACUGAUUGAAACAUGGUAAGGAAGACAGUGCCUCUGGUAUGAACUAGAGAAUAUGGCAGUUGCCGAUCAAAUACUGUACAAGAGAAGGAAAAGGUUGAAGUCCUUGUUCUUUAUUGGUUUGAAAUCUGUGCACAUCCUUGUUGUUGCUCUAGCUAGCAAAUAUCCAAAUUUGAAAUGAAAAAUGCAGUGCUUGAUGCAAAGCAGUGAAACUUUAUAUAAUUUUUCAUGGAGAGGAUUCUUGGAUAGAAAAAUGAGCUCCUGAAGCUACAGGCUAAGACAAAUCAUACAAGAGGAACUUCAUUUGGAUGACAAUCAUCAACUAGAAUUUGCAACCAACAGCUAGAAGUAAGGUGCCAGCAGCCUGUAAAACAAUUUACAGCAAAUUAGGCAUCAGUUGCAAAAUUUAAUUCUACCUAAAAGCCCAAAUGUACAAGUUAACCCCUGUAUUAAGAAAGAAACUAUGGCAAAUAAAUUAAACACAAGAUGAAUAAUAAACAACACAGUUCAUGACUAAACUAUGACAAACAUCAAAGACAAGGAAAACCUUGCGAAUACCACUAAUGAACACAAAAAAGAAAAAGAAAAAUGAAGACACUGUAUACAAAUCUGAAUUAAUUUAAUAAUUUUUUAAAAGAAAAGUCAAUAAAUAAACAAGUAACGUAUAUAAAGAAUGGACAAGGGCUAUUGAAAUUAAAUGAUAUUGACUGGAUGGAGUACCUGAGUGAGAUUGCAUUAAUUAUGCCAAAAGGGCCUCUUUCAUAAUGAGUUCAUAUUCAAUCCAAAUGAUAGGAAUGGGGAGCCUCUUUACCGGCAUGGAUUGGAGCUCUGGACAUCCAGAGAUAUGCAAUUCGCGAAGACAGCUGAGGUGUUGAAAGCCCUUGUAGUCCAAAAACUUAAGAUUUGGAAGAUCGAAUAUGUAAAUUUUGGUAAGAGUUGAGGGCAGCAGAUAUUCAUCUGGAAAAGACUCUAUCUCUUCUGCCUUAAGGAUUUGGAAGCUUGUAAGUGAAGGGAGUGUUUCCAAACCCCAAUCCUUCCUGCCCGCAAUUAGCUUUUCACUUCUUCCAAUUGUAAUAUUUUUUAAUUUGGAGGGUAAACCCUCUUUUGGAAAUGACUCAAUUUCUGGACAAUUGGAUAUUUCCAAAUCCUCAAGGGAUGGAAAGAGGGAUUGCAUUUGCUCAGGCAAUGACUUUAAAUUUUUGCAAUUGUAAAGAUAAAGUGAUGUCAAAUUGGUGGCAGAAAAACCCUCUUCGGGAAAAGAUAUAAAAUUAGGGAAGGAAUUGAUUGACAAAUGAUUGAGACAUGGGGGAUGCUGGUCAAGGCCCUCUAAUGUAAGAAAUGACUUCGAGUCUUCACCUGAAUAUAUAACAAGAUUAUUUAGCUUAGGUAAUGAACCUAUUCGAAUCGACUUCAAGCCUUCGCAUGACCAGAUUUGAAGACUAUUUAGCUUAGGUAAUGAUUCUAUUGAGAAAGAUUCCAGUGGAUGGUUGCUGAGGUAACUUAUGUUUAAGCGUUCAAGGGAUGUACACAAGAGGAUUUUGGAAAAAUCCAACGCAUUACAAUGAAUGAUCUGCAAUUCCUUUAGCGUAGUAGGUAGACUACCUUCAGGAAGAGAUUUGAGGCCAUCACAAUCGAAAAUUUCCAAUCUUUCAAGAUGAGUGCUGUGUCGCACCAUCUGCUCCAAUAUGGAAUCAUUGAUAUGCGAAUCAUUUAUAUUCAAGCAAGACAUCGUCAAAUUUCGAAGCCCACAAGGCAAUGGCUGCAAUUGCAAUGCAUCGCAUUCCUCUAAGUCAAGUUGGGACAUGCUUAGUGCCCUUGGAAGCAAGGCUCCAAGCUUCCCACAUCUCUUAAUCGUAAGUUUCAAUAAAGAAGGGAGGUGUUUGGGCAAAGACUUGGUUAACUUGGGACAAUCUUUUAUGUAUAACUCUUGGAGGAGACGGAAAGCUCCGUCAUUCAAGCAAAACCAUUCUUCCCACUCUGACAUAUCUGUGAAACUUAGAAUUUCAAGAGAUCCAAAUGGUUUACUCGAAGCAUCACCUUGCCCAUAGAACUCAUCAUCCACUGUUACUACUUCAGAAAACCCACUAAUGGAGAGAGAUUUCAAAGAUGAUAACCGCCCAAGCGGUGGCCAGAACAAGCAAAAUUUACAACCCCUCAAGUGCAAAGAUACUAGAUUCGAGAAAGAAAAAUGCCCCACCCAUUCCGGGAAUCUUGUACCUCUAUAAAACUCAAUAGCAAGAUGCUCCAAGUUUGUGUGAGGCUCCAGUUGUUCAAGUAUUUCUCUAUCAUGCUUUGAAUCAUCAUUAGUAUGACAAUCCUCACUCCAUUUCAACUCCAACUCCCUAAGGUUAAUCUUCUCCUUCAAAUUGGCAUCUUUGGCAUCCUUUUGACAAACAACGUUUUGUAAAUUUGAGAUGGCAAGUCUUCCACGUAGAUUCUUGAGCUUUCCCAACUCACUUAUGCUUGAACCUUUUUGCUCACCCAAAACAAAAUCUGUUAAUGUUCGAAGAUCUUUCAAUUUAUCCAUUCCUGGUGGCAUCCUUACUAACUUGGUACCCCUGAUAUCAAGAUGAUGCAUGUUGAUCAAUCUUCCCAUGUCUUCGGGCAACUCAACAAGCUUUGCGCAUUGAAACAAGAGUAAUGUUUGCAAAUUAUACAAUGUAGUUAAAAAGUUUAGUAACCUUUCAAUUGAAGUUUCAGAUAGAUCCAAAUAACGCAGCUGUUUUAAUUUUCUAAUUUCUUCUGAUAACUCAUUGAUAUUAUGAUAAUGAGCCAAAGAAAGCACUCGUAAGGAUCUAAAUUUUACGAUCAAAUCAUCCAUUAUCACAUUGGUAACAUAACAAUGCCCUGACCUUGACUUUAAAGUUAAGAAUGUAUGCAAACCUUUUGCUUUAGGUAAAGCUUCAAAUUUUUGAAGUACAUCGAAUUCUUCUUGGAUAUUAGAGAAAUAACGGGUCUUUUUACUUAUUUGACAUGAAAGCCUAUCAUCACCGUCCAAUCUACAAAUGAAUUCUCCAGAUACAGAUUUUGCUAAGUCACUAAUUAAGUCAUGCAUGACAAAGCAAGGCUUAUUCCCACUUAAUUGUUGAAAAAAUGACCUGGAUGUUAAAUCUUUGAAAUACUCAUUACCCCAAUCCUCCAUAUUUACAACUUCUCUGGAAUAUGCUAAAAGAUCUUCAGCCAUCCAUAACCGAAUGAGUUCUUCCUUUCUGAAUUCAUAAUCUUUAGGAAAAAUUGAACAAUAAGCAAAGCAGCGCUUUAAAUGGGAAGGAAGAUAAUAAUAACUUAAUCUGAGUGCUGGAAGAAUAUCAUCUGUUAUGUCCCACAAACUGCUGGUUAAUACUUUAUUCCAAUCCUCAACAUCUGUUCUACAACGAAGAAGACCUCCAAGUGUUUUUGCCGCUAAAGGGAGGCCUUUGCAUCUUUUGGCAAUUGCUUCACCGAUUUCCUUCAAAUCUGGAUGCAUGCUUGGGCUUGUAUUAGCAAAUGCAUGUUUUGCAAAUAACAACCAACAAUCCUCAUCAGAUAAGAUAUUAAGAUGAUAAGUUGGAACAGUCCUCACAAUGGAUGCCACGUUUUCACCACGCGUUGUUACAACAAUCUUGCUGUUUUUCGCCCCAGAAUUGAAAGGACUUCUCAACUCUUCCCAAUCAACAUAUUUCUCGUUCCAAACAUCGUCCAAAACAAAUAGAAACUUCUUUCCCAACAGCUUCUCCUUGAGUUUAAGCUGAAGCUGAUUUAGGUUCUGACUAGCAUCACCGUUAGAAGUGAUUUCUUCAAGAAUGGUUUUGGUUACCCUUAAAGCAUCAAAUUCCUCUGAAACACACACCCAUGCUUUGACGUCAAACCAUUCCGCCACUCUCUUGUCAUUGUAGAUCAAUUGUGCAAGCGUGGUUUUACCAACCCCGCCCAUACCCACUAUUGGAAUCACAUCGAUCUGAUUUGCACUUGCAUAUUCCGGGUUCAGCAACUCCAUGAUCACUUCUUUUUCAUCAUGUCUACCAUAAACACCGGAUUCAUCCACCAGAGAAGUUGCAGGUGGUCUUUGAAUUGACUUUUCUCCUCUACUUUCUUUCAAACCCAGGAUGUCUUUUUGGUUGACUAAACGUUCUAGUGUCUCAAGGAUUUCUUCUAGUUUUGAUCCCAUCCCGCUAUUGAAAGGAUUGAGAGAAGAGAACAAGCUACGUACCUGCUUUGCAAUACUAGUCUGAUCCUCGGAUUCCAACCUGCUUCGAAGAGCUUCGGUAGCGAUCUCAUCAAGGAGGUCCUCCGCAUCAUAAACAGCAUCUUUGAGCUCAUCAAUCCAGCUUCUCACAUUUGGGUUCGUGAUUUGCUUAUUUUCAGCAUCAUCCAGCACUGCUUUAACUGACAUCAAUGCUGGUUUCAGUUUCUUCAGCAGCCCAUCUUCAAGUUUCUUUCCCUUAAAAAGAUUCAAAACAUCCGGAGAAGCAAUCCUCUCGACCAGCAACUCGAUGGAAGCAGUGAGAAAAGCUUCACCCACCAAAGCCAUUUUCUUUUUCGGUGAUUAAAGAAAGGUUUGAAGAAGAUCAAAGGAAUUGAUUUGCAAAGAAUGAAAUGAAGAGUGGGUUUACUGAAGUGAAGGCAAUGAGGACUUGGCACUAAUAGAUUAGGUGAAGUCAACGAAGACUUGAAGGUGAAAUGAACAUUGGUUAUUUGGAUUUUCUUUAAUUUAUUCUUUUAAAAUAAAAAAUGUGUAUAAAAUAAAAAUAUAAAUAAAAUAAUCAUAUAUGAAGAAGAGAUUUUUAAAUUAUUUUGUGUGUUUUUUAGGAAGCAAAGAGAUAUUUAAAAACAUAAAUAUAUGUUUCAUACAGACACGUCUAUUAGUAUAAAUAUUAUUUAACUAUCUUUAAAUGUCUUUAUAAUAUAUUAAUUAUAUAUUAUUAAUAUAAUUAAAUUUCAAGACCAAUCAAGGCUUGAAAAGCUUAAUGGUAGUCCAAUUUGUACUUUAAUUCAAUUAUUAAGAGCUUAUUCUCCAUCAAAUUUAAAAACUUUCUUCUUCUCUUCCAAUGUAAAAUUGUGUAUUACAUGUAACCCAACUAAUAGGUAAAAACCCAAUGACAAAAGCAAGAGAAAAGCCAUCUCAUGAAUUCUGUUUGAUCUCUUUUGUGUAAAUCACAUAAGAAAAACAACAACACAUCAAAACUUGAGAGUAGGGAUACAAAAUUCCACAACUGACUCAAUAUUUAGGAAAUGGAGAAGCAGUACAGCAAUAGACUUUGUCUACAUAAUCAAGGCAACUCUAGUAAAAGAAAAACUUUCAGCUUCUCAAAUUCUCAACAAUCUUGGAGAGUGCUGAGUAUGUUCCAAAGGCUGAUGAAACUACUCCCACUGCUAUAACUAUUAUACAAAGUGUAGUCUGUAAAACAAGAAAAGGAAAGAUUAUGAGAAAAGCCAGAAAGAUAAACUAAGCAUUCUAUGAGAUAAAAUUUUAUAUGGAUUCACGCAGGCUCUAAAACAACUCUUUUAUGGAUUUAGUUUUCUUGAUUCCUUCUAUUUUCUUUUGCACUUUUCAGUGGAAGAUGCAAUAGGAGUUGUUAAUUUUUUGAAUUGUUACCGUAUGAGUAUUUGUGUGCACACGCAUGCUUAUAUAUAUACAUGUUACAUGUAUUAUGAUCGUACCUGAAUACGGGUUACUUUACCCCUCACGAUGCUUAAAUAACAAGCAGGAGGAAGUAUCAAGGUCUGUUGUAGAAGUAAUUAGUGAAAGCACAUUAGUCUUUGUUCUAUAUGCUUGCUUCAAACAACUUGCUUUGUAAAGUGAUAGAGAAGAAGUUCCAUGAUUCAAAUGGCAGAAGGUAACUUACCACGAGCAUUGUGAGUGAAGAUCCUAUCAGUGACAUCACCAAACCUGCAACAAAGGGAGAAAAUUUUCCCACGAUGACCUAGAAAUUCAAUGGAAUACCUAACACUAUCUGGAUGAUCCAACCUUACAACCAAAAUGUUCUCUCAGUUCAAAAUAGCAGAUAUGCAACAGAAGAGGUUUCUCUUUGAAGAUGAAUGGUAAAUGCAUAAACAAACAAUAACAGACGCUUACCAAAGAAGGGGAUGCUGAGACCGACAAUCAAGGUUGAGAUCACCAGUGAAGUUCUGAUUAAGAUAGCAUAGAUGUGAGACUUGAGAUGGCUUGACGGUAUCAACUCCUCAAGACUCAUUGCCACCGGAGACAUGGUUAAUGCAUAUGUUAGGUCUAAUUAAGGCAGAACAUUUAUUUUUUUAGAUAUGAGAGCACAAAUGCUAACUAAAAGGCAAUAGCUAGACUUUGUUUAACUAAAGACGGAAUUAGGACUUUCUGAUGAUAACAGUUCUCUUACUGGAGAGGGUAAUGAAAGAGGGAAAAUAUCAUGAAAAAAAAGGGGAGUAAGGAAUUUAAGCUUACUCAUAGAUCCCUCAUUUUCGACAACAACUGUAAUGUUCUUGUUCCCAAUUUUCUCUUUCUUUCUCAUGCUUUCCCAUUAGAGAAGGAGACCAUGAAGUUUAUGCCUCCAAGUAGAACUAUAUUUCAUUACCUAAAAGGUUGAUUCCAGGUAAUAAUGCGAAGAGCUAUAAUGAAAAGGAUAUUUGGUAAAUGGGUUGACUACCUGCAAAAGAACAGAAAAUAAUUGAAUUGUAGUUAACAGAAACAAAAUGUUCAUAAAAUGCUAUUUGAAAGUCUAAGCCUGGACAAGGCAAGGGUAAAGUGAUACUGUAAGAUCUAAUUAGUUGAAUAGGCUAGCCAGACAAAUAUAAUAUCAUGGGAGUUAGUUUCUUCUCAACUUUGCAUAUAAGCAUGGUGUUUAGACAAGAUAUCAGCUCAUUGUAUUGCUGUUUCUCCAAAAUUGGUGCAUCAAUGACAUUUUCAAAUAAGUGCAGUUAUACCAAUCAUUAUAAGCACAGAACAAAUUGUCAAGAAAAUCUGCUAAGAUGAGAAUACCGUUGUCCACACAGCAAUCUUUGAAGCAAUCAGAUCUUUAGGCAUGUUAAGAGUAAACUGUGAUUCUGUUGCUUCUCCAAACAUUGUGUACCCCAUAAUUGCAGUUCCAGCAUACAACAAAGAACAGAUUCCAAAACUGCAAGGAAAUUAAAACCAAAGAUGAUAAGAGGAGCAGCAUUUAUAACCACAAACUACCCUUUUUAAGGAAUGAUAAGGUGCAUGGUUAGUAAUCAACAAUUUGUGAACCUUCUGCUUAUGUUAAUCAUAACGUACACGAUGCAGCACCUUGCAUUAUCAAAAGGAAUAACAAACCAAUUGGUUGAGCAUAACUUUGAACCAGCUAAAUCGAUGCAGAGAGGUAAAAAGAUCCCAGCAAGAGUAACGACACAAAUAUCAUUUAGCAAGAAAAAAUACGUGACAUUUCAUAGUCUCUAAGAUAACAAAUCGAACUGAGCAGCUAUACUUUACCAAGCUAUGAGGACUGAAGGGAAUUGAUUUGGUUUUGCCAUUGAGGUAUAGAUAUUGGGGAAAACAGCAUGUCCUGAAUAACAGUAACCGUAGAGCCCAACAGCAACAGGAAGACUAGCCAGGUUCAAUGUAGUUCCUUUGUUAUGAAAGCCAACUUGAUCUACCAAGCCAACCCAAAACAAGCAGAGUACUACCAAGAUUGAUGCAACGACUCCACCAGC
rnacentral:lncRNA from 1 species